CCCGUGCCCUCUCCUUGCCCUAACCAGCGCCGCAACAACCGCCGCACGCCGCGAUUAAAGCCUUCUCCUAUCCCUCUGUUUCCUUUCCUGUCUUCCCGACGUGAGCUUCUCUCCUCCCCCUCUACUGAUCUCUUCCUCCUCGCCGAGCGACGGCGUCGAUCGCUACCUCAGCCGACGACACUCCUUCCACAUUGCCUAGCGCCGGUGCCAUGCCAAACAGCCGCUGUCCGUGAGCCCUAGCCCCGGCCAACCCGCGACUCCCUCACCCUUCCGAGACACUAUCGGCCACAAGAACCCUAGCGUCGAUCGCCUUUCCUUUGCGAUGUUUUUGUCCUAGAUCGCCGUCGACUCCCUGUUCUUGCGUUGUGCCCUAAAUCCGAGUCAAUAAGUGAUUCCGGCCGUGAGGAGAAGACAGACUUGCAGUGGGCUUGUUUUAGUUCUAGCAGUGAGACAACCCUUCUUCGGUAGUAACAACGGUUGUGAAUUUAGCCACUGGAUCCGGCUGUAACCUUUUCUAGCAGUGGGUAAGUACAGAUUUAGGACUUUGAUGAGAGACGAGCAUCUCGAUGUCGGAUUUGGACAUUCCUAUUGGAG